rnacentral:misc_RNA from 1 species
GAUGAAGAACGUAGCGAAAUGCGAUACGUAGUGUGAAUUGCAGAAUUCAGUGAAUCAUCGAAUCUUUGAACGCACAUUGCACCUCUCGGUAUUCCGGGAGGUAUGCCUGUUCGAGCGUCAUUUGUACCCUCAAGCUCUGCUUGGUGUUGGGUGUUUGUUCCGCCUCUGUGUGUGAACUCGCCUCAAAACAAUUGGCAGCCGGCGUACUUGUUUCGGAGCGCAGCACAUUUCGCGAUCCAGAUCAACGUACAGCGGCAUCCAAGAAGCCUUAUUUAACGCUCUUGACCUCGGAUCAGGUAGGGAUACCCGCUGAACUUAAGCAUAUCAAUAAGCGGAGGA